AACGAACGCUGGCGGCAGGCUUAACACAUGCAAGUCGAGCGCCCCGCAAGGGGAGCGGCAGACGGGUGAGUAACGCGUGGGAAUCUACCCAUCCCUACGGAAUAGCUCCGGGAAACUGGAAUUAAUACCGUAUACGCCCUACGGGGGAAAGAUUUAUCGGGGAUGGAUGAGCCCGCGUUGGAUUAGCUAGUUGGUGGGGUAAAGGCCUACCAAGGCGACGAUCCAUAGCUGGUCUGAGAGGAUGAUCAGCCACAUUGGGACUGAGAAACGGCCCAAAGUCCUACGGGAGGCAGCAGUGGGGAAUAUUGGACAAUGGGGGCAACCCUGAUCCAGCCAUGCCGCGUGAGUGAUGAAGGCCUUAGGGUUGUAAAGCUCUUUCACCGGGGAAGAUAAUGACGGUACCCGGAGAAGAAGCCCCGGCUAACUUCGUGCCAGCCGCCGCCGUAAAAC
rnacentral:rRNA from 1 species